UGUCCUAGAUGCUACACGUAUGAUUCUCCUGUGAUUACCUACCGUAUCGGAUGGUUCGCAAUUUCUUUCGUUGGAUUGCUGUCACUUGCAGGGUGUAUUCUAGGGUGCUGCUUGUGUCCCCUCGUACUGAAGAGCUGCAAGGAUGAAGUUCACUGCUGUUCUAACUGUAAUAUGCGCCUUGUUGUAACCUAACAGUAAAUGUCAACCGUAUGUUUUACUUGGUGCAUGUGGUGUAACCUGCCUGAUUCACAAUAAAGAAAGUCAUGUAUACAUGA